rnacentral:sRNA from 1 species
UGUUAACGCUGUCCAAAGACAGCAGGUGCUUUUAUGCUUAAACGAUAUUUUAUCGGCCUGCCGAGGAUGAGGUGUUAUAAUUUGAUUAUUACGCUCCUUCCACGGCUUAAUGGAGGGAGCUUUUCUUUUG